ACAUGUUCGUCGCGACUUUAAGAGAUUAAAGUUUUCGGUUCGGCCGGACGAAACACAGGUGCUGCAUGGCUGUCGUCAGCUCGUGUCGUGAGAUGUUGGGUUAAGUCCCGCAACGAGCGCAACCCUCACUUUUAGUUGCCAUCAUUAUGUUGGGCACUCUGAAAGAACUGCCAGUGAUAAGCUGGAGGAAGUUGGGGAUGACGUCAAGUCCUCAUGGCCCUUACGUGUUGGGUUACACACGUGCUACAAUGGUAUUUACAACAGGAAGCUAAACGGCGACGUUAAGCAAAUCCUUAAAAAAUACCUCAGUUCGGAUUGCACUCUGCAACUCGAGUGCAUGAAGCUGGAAUUACUAGUAAUCGUGGAUCAGCGUGCCACGGUGAAUGCGUUCCCGGGUCUUGUACACACCGCCCGUCACACCAUGGGAGUUGGUUCUACCUUAAGGCAAGGUUUCAAACCCUGGACCACGGUAUAGUCAGCGACUGGGGUGAAGUCG
rnacentral:rRNA from 1 species